rnacentral:tRNA from 1 species
GGAGAGGUGCCCGAGUGGCCGAAGGGAGCACAUUGCUAAUGUGUCCACGAUCAAAAGUCGUGCGAGGGUUCGAAUCCCUCCCUCUCCG